AAGGAAGGAGGGGAUGAGAAAAGAAUUAAAUUAUUAUGUUUUUAUGUUUGAUAAGAUCUUCGGUCUUAUGCCUACGUACCAACAUAGAAAUGAGGGGUCAAAACCUCGUAGUUCGUGGUAAAAAUCUCAAAGAAAUUGGUGAAUUGAUUUUAACAAAAGUUUAACAAGAAAGGCAUAAAAUGCAGAAUAUUUGAAUGGGGUUGUUA
rnacentral:lncRNA from 1 species